UAAAGGCAUGGUCCUGACCUUACUAUCAGCUCUUACCCAACUUACACAUGCAAGUCUCCGCAGCCCCGUGAGUAUGCCCUUAAUCCCCCACCCGGGGACGAGGAGCGGGCAUCAGGCACAAAUUUUUAGCCCAAGACGCCUGGCCAAGCCACACCCCCAAGGGAAUUCAGCAGUGAUAAACAUUAAGCCAUAAGUGAAAACUUGACUCAGUCAGGGUUAAGAGGGCCGGUAAAACUCGUGCCAGCCACCGCGGUUAAACGAGAGGCCCUAGUUGAUAUUACUACGGCGUAAAGGGUGGUUAAGGAAAGCAUUAUAAUAAAGCCAAAUGGCCCCUUGGCCGUCAUACGCUUCUAGGUGCCCGAAGCCCAACCACACGAAAGUAGCUUUAACAAAGCCCACCUGACCCCACGAAAGCUGAGAAACAAACUGGGAUUAGAUACCCCACUAUGCUCAGCCAUAAACCUAGACAUCCACCUACAAUUAGACGUCCGCCCGGGUACUACGAGCAUUAGCUUGAAACCCAAAGGACCUGACGGUGCCUUAGACCCCCCUAGAGGAGCCUGUUCUAGAACCGAUAACCCCCGUUAAACCUCACCACUUCUAGCCACCCCAGCCUAUAUACCGCCGUCGUCAGCUUACCCUGUGAAGGCAAUAAAAGUAAGCAAAAUGGGCACAACCCAGAACGUCAGGUCGAGGUGUAGCGUACGAAGCGGAAAGAAAUGGGCUACAUUUUCUAUAAUAGAACACUACGGACAUGCAACAUGAAAUAGUGCUUGAAGGAGGAUUUAGUAGUAAAAAGGAAACAGAGUGUCCUUUUGAACCCGGCUCUGAGGCGCGUACACACCGCCCGUCACUCUCCCCUGUCAAAACGCAAAAAAUAUAUUUAAUACCAAAGCACUGACAAGGGGAGGCAAGUCGUAACAUGGUAAGUGUACCGGAAGGUGCACUUGGAUAAAACU
rnacentral:ncRNA from 1 species